GAACAUUCUUGCUCCCAGUUUAAGUUUCAGUAAAAACCAAUUGAAAAUAAAUAAAUAAAUAUCUUGCUUGGCUUCACACACGACAAGCACUUACAUUUCUCAUAAAUCCAAAAAAUAUAAUAAUAUUGGCUUGUUUGGUCAUUUCGUUCUUCAUGGCAACAUAUAGCCAGUGUCAUGUGUAGUACGUAUCUGUCUGUGUAAAUGGCUCAUAAUGCUUGCAAAUGAGUUGGGAGUUCUAUUCACAUUGAGAUAAUCAUAAUGGACUUUGACACGAGAACAGACGAGAGUUUCGUAGCAGGUAAAGGAAGGCGAUCUGCAGCGCAAUGAUCGAGUACAUAUCUCAUGAUACAGGAGAUUAAAGUUUAAAUCGCAACAAUCCCCCAUCCCUUUACGAAUUUCUGAGGUAAAAUAAAAUUAAAAUAAAAGAAAAGAAAGGUGACCUGUCUGCUUUAGCCAAAGUAGGGGUGAGUUGUGCAGGUGUAAGAACAUGAAACAUGAAAAAGUGAAUGCCUUGGUGAUCCCGAGGAAGAAAGCACGUCCGAUCUCUAAAGAGAGCAAAGACACAAAACAAUGACUCCCCUUUCCCUUUUUCACUCUGAUAAAGGAAACACCAACAACCAAUCUUUAGAACAAAGAGACAAAAACAAUGACUCCCCUUUCCCUUUUUCACUCUGAUAAAGGAAACACCAACAACCAAUCUUUAGAACAAAGAGACA
rnacentral:misc_RNA from 1 species